rnacentral:rRNA from 1 species
AUUGAACGCUGGCGGCAGGCCUAACACAUGCAAGUCGAGCGGUAGCACAGGAGAGCUUGCUCUCUGGGUGACGAGCGGCGGACGGGUGAGUAAUGUCUGGGAAACUGCCUGAUGGAGGGGGAUAACUACUGGAAACGGUAGCUAAUACCGCAUAACGUCGCAAGACCAAAGAGGGGGACCUUCGGGCCUCUUGCCAUCAGAUGUGCCCAGAUGGGAUUAGCUAGUAGGUGGGGUAACGGCUCACCUAGGCGACGAUCCCUAGCUGGUCUGAGGGGAUGACCAGCCACACUGGAACUGAGACACGGUCCAGACUCCUACGGGAGGCAGCAGUGGGGAAUAUUGCACAAUGGGCGCAAGCCUGAUGCAGCCAUGCCGCGUGUAUGAAGAAGGCCUUCGGGUUGUAAAGUACUUUCAGCGGGGAGGAAGGUGCUGAGGUUAAUAACCUCAGCAAUUGACGUUACCCGCAGAAGAAGCACCGGCUAACUCCGUGCCAGCCGCCGCCGUAA